rnacentral:rRNA from 1 species
GAUGAACGCUGGCGGCGUGCCUAAUACAUGCAAGUCGAGCGAACAGACGAGGAGCUUGCUCCUCUGACGUUAGCGGCGGACGGGAGAGUAACACGUGGAUAACCUACCUAUAAGACUGGGAUAACUUCGGGAAACCGGAGCUAAUACCGGAUAAUAUAUUGAACCGCAUGGUUCAAUAGUGAAAGACGGUUUUGCUGUCACUUAUAGAUGGAUCCGCGCCGCAUUAGCUAGUUGGUAAAGUAACGGCUUACCAAGGCAACGAUGCGUAGCCGACCUGAGAGGGUGAUCGGCCACACUGGAACUGAGACACGGUCCAGACUCCUACGGGAGGCAGCAGUAGGGAAUCUUCCGCAAUGGGCGAAAGCCUGACGGAGCAACGCCGCGUGAGUGAUGAAGGUCUUCGGAUCGUAAAACUCUGUUAUUAGGGAAGAACAAAUGUGUAAGUAACUAUGCACGUCUUGACGGUACCUAAUCAGAAAGCCACGGCUAACUACGUG